AGACUUUCAACUUGAUUUAAGAUCACUUUCAGGUGGUCGGAAAUUUCAGAAUUUCCAGUAGUGUAAUGUAUUCGGAUGGAGGCGCACUAGUUUUAGGGCUUUAUCGCUGGUCGGGUCGGUACGACUAGAUAAACUCGGGCGUAACAAAGAGAAACAAACCCAGCUAACGAGUGGACUCAUGUUUGGACCAACAACCUCAGGUCGGGUCAACAUGUUAGGCGGUCGGGCCUGCUCGGGUACGACUACUCUCGGCUAUCGGCCUUGGGGUCGGAGACAUUCUCUAUCAGAUAUAAAUUAAAGGUCACAUUUUAAAUCCCAUUGAAAGUAUACUGGGAAGUUGAGGUUGGCCGUCCACAGAUCUGAAUCCCUGUGAAUCUCAUUGAAAGCAUGUUGUGAUGUUGAGGUGGUUGACCACAAGUCUGAAUUUAAUUGAGGUAGCAUGCUAUGCAAUUGAGAUCAUGGUGCAAGAAGCCCUAGUGCAAGUAGCAAUUUGAGAUGAUAGUGGAUCUGUUGAAGAUGAUUAAAGUAGGAUUCUAAGGCUUACCCUACCUCUUCUAUAUGUUUCCCUGAUCAAGGGAGAGAUAAAUAAUAAUAGUAGUAAUAAUUAAUGUUAA